UGAAAGCGGCACUGGCCUGACCCCGGAUCUUUCUUCCACAGAGGCCUUUUUGUGGUCUGUUGGCCCCCAGGAGUUCUGGCGAUGGGCAUCUGCCGGGUAUCUCAGAACCAUUUCCCACUUUCCUGUUCCCUCUCAGAUUACAGCUAAGAAGAAAGCGGCAAUGUGUAAGAUGACGGAGCCUGGAUGCAAGUUGGCUAUCUAAGAUGUAGAUGAGUUUCUUCACAAGAACAGAUUUGGAGAAAUCAACAUUACAUCACUUGCUCACCAGUGGAUGCUCUAUAGUGAAUGGGUGCCGUCAGAAUGAGAGUCCAAACAGCUGAUAAAAGCAUUACAAUAAUCCACAGGUAAUCCACACAAAUCCAGUUCAUCAGUUAACAUCUUGUGACGCGAAAAGCUAUGAUUUUGUAAAAAAAAAAAAAUGCAUCCAGAUGUUUUAACUUUAAACCGUUACUUCUGGACUGUUUUCGAUGGUAAACCGUGAUUGAUCUGUGCAUAUUUCUCUCCUGAUUUAGAUGAGAAGGCUUUUUCACUGGACAAAGCAAUAUUAUGGAUUUUUUUCAUUUUCAAAUUUAAAUUUUUGGGUGAACUAUUUCUUUGAACUUAACAAAUAAUAUCCUGGCAGAAAAUUCACAAUAUCUUUUCUGUUUUCUACAGAUUUCUUUCUUUCUUUCUUAUUAUCCCAAUGACCAAAUCAAAUACAAAUGACCAAUCAGAUAAAUAUUUUUUCAAUGUAUCAUUGGGAGUUCAAGCACAGGCACUGAAACCCUAUUGUAAUUGUUAGAAUGGUCACGGAUCAGCGAUCUCCAUGUAAAAAUGAUUGUGCAGACCAAACCAUAAGUUGUAGAGACUUGAAACUUGGAGGGAUGGUAGUACUCACACUACCUACAAUGUGACCAAGGCUCAUCCCAAGCGGCCUGACGGGGGCGCUACAGCGAACCAUCAGUCACAGACUCAAGUGUCUUAUGUGUUGGAAUCCCUGGAAAAAAACGCACGCCUCAGAUUCGAUCAUGAGCCUGACAAAAUUUUUGGGUAUUUUGCAUUUUUUGAAAAACCUACUUUUGCGAGCUAGUUGUAGGGUUUUUUGGUUCCUAAUUGGAACCAAACCAGUGCAGAAAGAUUCUCUGCAGAGUGAAUAUCAAUAAUUAUCUAAAAAAAGUUCAAUUUUCGACUCCCCAUCACAAAGAGGCGCCAAAACGUUCAAAAGGGGCGGGGCUACUUUUAGUAAAAUGUCUAAAACUCCUGAAUGGAAUGAGAUAUCUCUGCCAAACUCCGAACACUUAUGUAAGAGCCCAAUCUGAGAUCACAGGAAAAAAAAUCAUGGAGCUUGGCCACUUGGUGGCGCUAUAAGAGGGAAAAAACAUAAAAAUGGCUAUAACUGCACAACCAUUUGUCCUAUCAACAUGAAAAUCGGUGUGCAUAGUCUCAGUCUGAAGUUCCACAAGUGUCUACAAGGACAUUUGCAUAUCUUAGUUUAACGAAGGCUGAUCAGAAUGAAACUUGCUGGGCCUACUCAACUCACAGCCACAAAGGUCUGAGAGAAAUUUGAAAGAAAUCGGCCACUGGGGGGGAUUUUGCAUUUUUCACGGGUGUAAACGAUUGUACGUUGUGCGGUUUUUCGCACAUACGUGCAAUAUUCAUAUCAUAUGAUAGAAGUCCUCAUUCUGGAUAACUUUCCUCUAGAACUACUUCUGUCAAUCAAAUCGUUUGUUAAAUGAACCAGGUUUUUCGCUCAAUCUGGAAAAAAAAAACACUGCAGUAAAAUUUUCUGGACUCUCUAGACCAGUGGUUCUCAACCACGUUCCUGGAGGCCCCCCAGCGCUGCACAUUUUGCAUCUCUUCUUUGUCUGACACACCCAUUUCAGGUCUCAGGUCAGUCUAUACUAAUGAGCGGAUGAUCUGAAUCAGGUGUGUUUGAUUAGGGAGACAUGGAAAACAUUCAGUGUUCGGGGGCCUCCAGGAACAUGGUUGGGAACCACUGCUUUAGGCCAAUACUUGUCAAAAAAUGUUGAAAUUUACCCUUAGGGAAGCUAUAAUGGGGCCUGUCCAAAUUUACCCAAAAUCCAAUAAAGCCUAAAGAAAAACUCAAAUUUAACGAAAUAUAUACAUUUUAAAGCAAACUAUAGUCAAGUUCAGUAUCUUUUUAUACAUGUAGAAUUACAAGAUAAGGCUGUAUAAUAUUGUUAAAAAGUCACAGCAUCAAAUUUUACUGUAAAAAAAAUAAUUUCUCUGACAGGAAGUCACUAGAGUGACGUGACACAAAAUGUCACAUGAACAUCAGCUUAAUUCUACCUAAGUUUAGCAUUGAGGCACAAUGCCUCUCUUGUAGCUAGUCCGCCCUAGGGAUAGACUGCUUUCAAGCCCUAUUGUUCUCGCAGGGCACAUUAUCGGAUUAUCCCGAUUCCAAAUGAAGGGGAAGAGUGAAGAGUAUUGGAGCAGGGCUUGAUGGGACAUUAUGUCAAUGUGCUGGAACACUUUGAGAGAAAAGAAGCCUGAGCCCAUCAAGACAGAUGCCCGAAUGCGUAACAGCCCCAUUUCAAGGUGAUGUAGGAUUCCAGAGAAAAGAAAAUGAGGAGGAGAGUGGGAUGGAAAAAUGCAAACUCUGUCUGCUCAAGACCCCAACACAAAACAAAACAUGACGAGGCCUGUCAUUCUCCACUGUUGUGGUAUUACCAUCUCUAGGCUAAAGAAUGUACACAAAGAUCAAUGACAACAACUUAAAUCCUGCCAGCCUAACCUUCCCAAAACAUGUCACGAGUAGAAAUGAAAGGAUUUUCCGAGCUUCAUUUUCUCUCGCGGUGCGAAAAAAAUAAAUAUUGCCUGCAGGACUAACAUACUGGCUCCAAAGCGCCAACAAUAACCAGGCAAAGGGCAAAGCUCAUCUGGUAUUGUGGUCAGAUAAUGAUUCCUGAGCACUCUGAAAUAUGAGAACGUUACAUAACCCGUUCUUUUAGACUAUAAUAGAAUAAUUACAGCAAAUGAAUAUCUCACAUGACUAAUCCUUCAGUGGUACAUAUAUAUCACCUUUCUAUAUUCUUCCAACAGCAUGCAGUAAUCUACUUUGCCACCCAAGACGUCUUUUAUCUGGGACAUAAAAGGUUCUGGAAGGCGCGAAAGUAUGGAAGCGUGAAACAUACGGUUUGUACAAUUUUUAUGUGGUACUCCUACAGCUAGUUGAUUGUGUUAGGACUUACGUUGCAUUUGUACACUGUUUUUUAGUCAUAAGACAACACGGAACAAUAACACUGAAAAGCAGCCUAUCUCAAACGGCAAUCUUUUUAGGGACCAGACCAGAAGAUAGCUUUCAAGCCAUGGAAUGUGGAGUUUCAUCUACAGCUGACAUUUAUUGCUUUGAAAACAGCAUAAACGGUCAUGGCUACACUUACGGUCACUGCAGUCCCCCGGAUCCAGUCCGAACCCAGCCCAGACGGUGGAUCAGCACCUAGAGACGACCUCUACAGCCCUGAAUGUCAGCGGAGUCCACAUCAACUAGAUGAGCCCCAGAGACGGAUCCACAUUAAAGACCACAUCACCUAGACGGCUGUCGGCACAAGACCACGGGAACUUUGGCCAGAGGAGAACUGGCCCCCCGACUGAGCCUGGUUUCUCCCAAGGUUUUUUUCUCCAUUUGUCACCGAUGGAGUUUUGGUUCCUUGCCGCUGUCGCCUCUGGCUUGCUUAGUUGGGGACACUUUCUCUUAACACAGUAUUGCAUUUUAUUUUAUUGUUUUUGAUUAACUACCUUUACCUAUAAUGUGAGUGUUUAAUGUUGCCUUUGGCAUUGUUGAUGUACUGUUUCCUAUUUAAUACUGUACAGCCGCCUUGUCACAAUUCUGUAUUGUUAAAGGCGGUAUAUAAAUAAAGGUGACUUGACUUGACUUGACGAUCUCUACAACAAUAUUGAAAAAUGUUACUAAACUCUCAAAUAAUACAUGCUGUAAGCAGGCUCGGGAAUAAAGAAUGAUUGUUAGGAUGUUCAUUUUACAUUGACACACAGAGCAAACAAUGUAGUCUGAUUCUUAAACAAAUGACUCUUCUGAA